AGCGAACGCUGGCGGCAUGCUUAACACAUGCAAGUCGCACGAACCUUUCGGGGUUAGUGGCGGACGGGUGAGUAACGCGUAGGUAUCUAUCCAUGGGUGGGGGAUAACUCUGGGAAACUGGAGCUAAUACCGCAUGACACCUGAGGGUCAAAGGCGCGAGUCGCCUGUGGAGGAGCCUGCGUUCGAUUAGCUAGUUGGCGGGGUAAAGGCCCACCAAGGCGAUGAUCGAUAGCUGGCCUGAGAGGAUGAUCAGCCACACUGGGAAUGAGACACGGCCCAGAGCACUACGGGGGGCAGCAGUGGGGAAUAUUGGACAAUGGGCGCAAGCCUGAUCCAGCAAUGCCGCGUGUGUGAAGAAGGUCUUCGGAUUGUAAAGCACUUUAGACGGGGACGAUGAUGACGGUACCCGUAGAAGAAGCCCCGGCUAACUUCGUGCCAGCAGCCGCCGUAA
rnacentral:rRNA from 1 species